rnacentral:rRNA from 1 species
GAUGAACGCUGGCGGCGUGCCUAAUACAUGCAAGUCGAGCGAACGGACGAGAAGCUUGCUUCUCUGAUGUUAGCGGCGGACGGGUGAGUAACACGUGGAUAACCUACCUAUAAGACUGGGAUAACUUCGGGAAACCGGAGCUAAUACCGGAUAAUAUUUUGAACCGCAUGGUUGAAAAGUGAAAGACGGUCUUGCUGUCACUUAUAGAUGGAUCCGCGCUGCAUUAGCUAGUUGGUAAGGUAACGGCUUACCAAGGCAACGAUGCAUAGCCGACCUGAGAGGGUGAUCGGCCACACUGGAACUGAGACACGCUCCAGACUCCUACGGGAGGCAGCAGUAGGGAAUCUUCCGCAAUGGGCGAAAGCCUGACGGAGCAACGCCGCGUGAGUGAUGAAGGUCUUCGGAUCGUAAAACUCUGUUAUUAGGGAAGAACAUAUGUGUAAGUAACUGUGCACAUCUUGACGGUACCUAAUCAGAAAGCCACGGCUAACUACGUG